UACGUAGGGUGCGAGCGUUAAUCGGAAUUACUGGGCGUAAAGCGUGCGCAGGCGGCGCGUUAAGACAGGUGUGAAGGCCCCGAGCUUAACUUGGGAAUUGCGCUUGUGACUGGCGUGCUGGAGUGUGGCAGAGGGAGGUGGAAUUCCACGUGUAGCAGUGAAAUGCGUAGAGAUGUGGAGGAACACCGAUGGCGAAGGCAGCCUCCUGGGCCAGCACUGACGUUCAUGCACGAAAGCGUGGGGAGCGAACAGG
rnacentral:rRNA from 1 species